UACGUAGGUGGCAAGCGUUGUCCGGAUUUACUGGGCGUAAAGAGCGCGCAGGCGGUUGGAUAAGUCGAAUGUGAAAGCCCCCCGGCUCAACUGGGGAGGGUCAUUCGAAAACUGUCCAACUCGAAGGCAGGAGAGGGAAGCGGAAUUCCCGGUGUAGUGGUGAAAUGCGUAGAUAUCGGGAGGAACACCAGUGGCGAAGGCGGCU
rnacentral:rRNA from 1 species